UACGUAGGGGGCAAGCGUUGUCCGGAUUUAUUGGGCGUAAAGCGCGUGUAGGCGGCCAGGUAGGUCCGUUGUGAAAACUCGAGGCUCAACCUCGAGACGUCGACGGAAACCAUCUGGCUAGAGUCCGGAAGAGGAGAGUGGAAUUCCUGGUGUAGCGGUGAAAUGCGUUGAUAUGUGUCGGAACACCAAUGGCGAAAGCAAUCUCCUGGACGCAAACUGACGCUGAGAUACGAAAGCCAAGGUAGCAAACAGG
rnacentral:rRNA from 1 species